CAGUAGCCGCGGGAAUACGUAGGUGGCAAGCGUUGUCCGGAAUUAUUGGGCGUAAAGGGCUCGCAGGCGGUUUCUUAAGUCUGAUGUGAAAGCCCCCGGCUCAACCGGGGAGGGUCAUUGGAAACUGGGAACCUUGAGUGCAGAAGAGGAGAGUGGAAUUCCACGUGUAGCGGUGAAAUGCGUAGGGAUGUGGAGGAACACCAGUGGCGAAGGCGACUCUCUGGUCUGUAACUGACGCUGAGGAGCGAAAGCGUGGGGAGCGAACAGGAUUAGAUACCCCAGUAGUCCCUGUCUAUUAUAC
rnacentral:rRNA from 1 species